rnacentral:rRNA from 1 species
UACGAAGGGUGCAAGCGUUAAUCGGAAUUACUGGGCGUAAAGGGUGCGUAGGCGGUUGUUUAAGUCUGUCGUGAAAUCCCCGGGCUCAACCUGGGAAUGGCGAUGGAUACUGGGCAGCUAGAGUGAGUCAGAGGAUGGUGGAAUUCCCGGUGUAGCGGUGAAAUGCGUAGAGAUCGGGAGGAACAUCAGUGGCGAAGGCGGCCAUCUGGGACAACACUGACGCUGAAGCACGAAAGCGUGGGGAGCAAACAGG